rnacentral:rRNA from 1 species
AUGGCACGCCUGAACUUUGGUGUCAUUACCCUGAUCCCCAAAAUAGUUGGGACGGAUAUCCGACACUUUAGGUCGAUUACGGUAAUUAAUGUCCUCAAGAGGAUUUUUGCAAAGGUUUGUGCGACACGACUAUCUCCUAUUGCAGAGCACCCCGCACACCCAUUCCAGUCUGUGUUCCUGAAGGGUCGCCGCAUCCACGAUGGAUCUUGGCCCUUCAUGAUUGUCCAUGAGGUUAGGAGAUGACGCCAUAGGGCCUUCUUCCUUAAGCUUGAUUUCCAAAAAGCUUAUGACUACCUCGACUAGUCCUUCUUGCGCUUGGUGCUUGAGUGUAGGGGGUUCAAUGACAGGUGGUGCUCUUGGAUCAUGCAGUUAGUACGGAGUGGUAGCACGGCGAUUAAUAUCAUUGGGGAGGUAGGUCCCUUCUUUAGGUCGUCCCGAGGGUGA